rnacentral:lncRNA from 1 species
AUGUCGGACAAUAUCCUAAAAGAGACAUCUGAAAUCUUCUUUAACAUCUGGCAUGACCCAAAUUUUUGGACGGGCCUUCUUUUUGGAAUGUUUACAGUUACCACGUUUAACAUGACAUUUAGAAUGUACAGAAGUCUAUUGGAAAUUCAAAAUCCGAGCCCCACUGAAAAACCCUCCACCUCAUCUAAAAAAAUAUCUGACGUAAGUAUUUCUCUUUCAUCCUGUGCUGCUCAUACAUACCCUCAAUGAUAAAUAUAACUCUUCGUAAAAACAUUGUAUCGUGUCGCACAUAAUCAGUAGUCCCUACUAAUUUGCUUUUACAAAUGAUUCUGAUUGGAUAAUCUUUUUUUAGAUUCAUUCCGAAAAGUAGUUUUCAAGGCACCCACAGACAAGCUGUAAACAAGAUUCUGAGGAAGCUCAUAGAGGAAAAAACUGAGCUUAUGCAAUUUUUGAAAGGGGAAUCGGGUAAAAUUUCAGAUCUCUGAGCAAAAACUUUGAAAGUGACUGUUGAUACUUUUGAAAAUUGAUGACGCAGAGGCGCUGCAGUUUUUUUCAUUAAUUUUUGGACGCGUUACUGUAAUCAAUGUAGUCUUCAUAACUUCACUCCUCUGCGUUUAUAUGGAUGGCUGAAGUGCAAAUUCACCUAUCUCCAUUGCAGUGUUUCAAAACUUCUAUUUCUAAUCUAUUCUUUUAUAGAGAAAUAAACCAACUUUGUAGCCUGAACUUUCCUCUGAAUAUUCUGCUGAGAGAAAAGAAAAAUUAAGGAAAUUUUCGAAAAAUUACGUUGACUAUUUUUCCAAAGAAAAAACAGAAUUUGAUGAGAAGUCUGCAAUGUCGCAAAGGGAGGUACGUGGUUCGUACUUUGGCAUGUGUAUAUAUUUUUGUAAAUUGAUGUCAAUAAUCCUUGUACCUAGAACUUGAUUUUUCUAACCGAAAAAUUUCCAAAUUCAAUUUGAAAGUGAGAAACUAGCUGUCUUUAAGUUUGUAAAAAUUCAAACCUCUUGCUUGCUGAAGAAGCAAAGUCUUCUUAAAUCAAUCAUUACAUACUUAGAAAAUUCCAGUUUUCGUUUCUUUUUUUGAAAUAAUUGGUAAAUUCUUCUCUGCCACCCGAUGAGCACUGUGUAAGUAGAAAAAAAGCCAUUGUGGAAUUUGUGGACUUCAUUUUUCAAUAUGGAACUACUAUUUCUGGCCCAUUUUAGAAACAAUUUAUAUGCUAUAAGUUUCUUUAUGCAGAUAAGAACCACUAUAGAUG